GACGAACGCUGGCGGCGUGCUUAACACAUGCAAGUCGAACGGAAAGGCCCUGCUUUUGUGGGGUGCUCGAGUGGCGAACGGGUGAGUAACACGUGAGUAACCUGCCCUUGACUUUGGGAUAACUUCAGGAAACUGGGGCUAAUACCGGAUAGGAGCUCCUGCUGCAUGGUGGGGGUUGGAAAGUUUCGGCGGUUGGGGAUGGACUCGCGGCUUAUCAGCUUGUUGGUGGGGUAGUGGCUUACCAAGGCUUUGACGGGUAGCCGGCCUGAGAGGGUGACCGGCGACAUGGGGACUGCGAUACGGCCCAGAAUCCUACGGGAGGCAGCAGUGGGGAAUAUUGCACAAUGGGCGGAAGCCUGAUGCAGCAACGCCGCGUGCGGGAUGACGGCCUUCGGGUUGUAAACAGCUGUCGCCUGUGACGAAGCGUGAGUGACGGUAAUGGGUAAAGAAGCACCGGCUAACUACGUG
rnacentral:rRNA from 1 species